UCUCUGGUGGCCUAAUGGUUAAGGUUUGGCAUUGUCACUGAUGUGGCUCAGGUUUGAUCCCUGGCCUGGGGA
rnacentral:tRNA from 1 species